rnacentral:rRNA from 1 species
UACGUAGGGUGCAAGCGUUAAUCGGAAUUACUGGGCGUAAAGCGUGCGCAGGCGGUUGUGCAAGACAGAUGUGAAAUCCCCGGGCUCAACCUGGGAAUUGCAUUUGUGACUGCACGGCUAGAGUGUGUCAGAGGGGGGUAGAAUUCCACGUGUAGCAGUGAAAUGCGUAGAGAUGGGGAGGAAUACCGAUGGCGAAGGCAGCCCCCUGGGAUAACACUGACGCUCAUGCACGAAAGCGUGGGGAGCAAACAGG